rnacentral:rRNA from 1 species
CCGGCGACCGGCGCACGGGUCGAGUAACGCGUAUCCAACUUCCCUUAGUAGGGCAUAGCCCGGCGAAAGUCGGAUUAAUACCCUAUGUUUUCCUGUGAUGACAUCUGACUAGGAACAAAGAUUUAUCGCUAAGGGAUGGGGAUGCGUCUGAUUAGGUAGUCGGCGGGUAACGGCCCACCAAGCCUGCGAUCAGUAGGGGUUCUGAGAGGAAGGUCCCCACAUUGGUACUGAGACACGGACCAAACUCCUACGGGAGGCAGCAGUGAGGAAUAUUGGUCAAUGGGCGAGAGCCUGAACCAGCCAAGUAGCGUGCAGGAUGACGGCCCUAUGGGUUGUAAACUGCUUUAUGCGGGAAUAAAGUUCGCCACGUGUGGUGUUUGUAUGUACCGUAUGAAUAAGGACCGGCUAAUUCCGUGCC